rnacentral:rRNA from 1 species
AUUUUAACGAUGAAGAGUUUGAUCCUGGCUCAGGAUGAACGCUAGCGGCAGGCCUAACACAUGCAAGUCGAGGGAGGAG